rnacentral:misc_RNA from 1 species
GCAAACUUGGUCAUUUAGAGGAAGUAAAAGUCGUAACAAGGUUUCCGUAGGUGAACCUGCGGAAGGAUCAUUAACGAGUGAGGGUCCUCUGGGCUCGACCUCCCAACCCAUUGUUUACCAGACCUCUGUUGCUUCGGCGGACCCGUCUCACGACCGCCGGAGGGUUGCUGCAAGGCGCCCUCUGGCCCGCGUCCGCCGGUAGCCACCUAACAAAACUUCUGAAUGAAUCGUGUCUUCAUUUCUUAGUCUAUGAUUAAAUUAAACGCAAAACUUUCAACAACGGAUCUCUUGGUUCUGGCAUCGAUGAAGAACGCAGC